rnacentral:rRNA from 1 species
GAUGAACGCUAGCGGCAGGCUUAAUACAUGCAAGUCGUGGGGCAGCAUGAGUAGCAAUACUUGAUGGCGACCGGCAAACGGGUGAGGAACACGUACACAACCUUCCUUCAAGCGGGGAAUAGCCCAGAGAAAUUUGGAUUAAUACCCCAUAAUAUAUUUGAUAAGGCAUCUUAUUAAUAUUAAAGCUUCGGCACUUGAUGACUGGGUGUGCGGCUGAUUAGAUAGUUGGCGGGUAACGGCCCACCAAGUCUACGAUCAGUAGCUGAUGUGAGAGCAUGAUCAGCCACACGGGCACUGAGACACGGGCCCGACUCCUACGGGAGCAGCAGUAGGAAUAUUGGACAAUGGACGAAAGUCUGAUCCAGCCAUGCCGCGUGAAGGAUUAAA